rnacentral:rRNA from 1 species
AGCAGCCGCGGUAAUUCCAGCUCCAAUAGCGUAUAUUAAAGUUGUUGCAGUUAAAAAGCUCGUAGUUGAAUUUCGGGGUUAGUAAGUUGGUCAUGCCUUCGGUAUGUACUGGCUUUACUGAUUCCUCCUUCUUGACGAACCGUGAUGUCAUUAAUUUGGUGUUGCGGGAAAUCAGGACUGUUACUUUGAAAAAAUUAGAGUGUUUAAAGCAGGCUAACGCUUGAAUACAUUAGCAUGGAAUAAUGAAAUAGGACGUUAAUCCUAUUUUGUUGGUUUCUAGGAUCGACGUAAUGAUUAAUAGGGAUAGUUGGGGGCAUUAGCAUUCAAUUGUCAGAGGUGAAAUUCUUGGAUUUAUUGAAGACUAACUACUGCGAAAGCAUUUGCCAAGGAUGUUUUCAUUAAUCAAGAACGAAAGUUAGGGGAUCGAAGACGAUCAGAUACCGUCGUAGU